GUAGGGAAUAUUGCGCAAUGGACGAAAGUCUGACGCAGCAACGCCGCGUGGGUGAUGAAGCUUCUUGGAGUGUAAAACCCUGUCAGUGGGGAAGAACCGUGCGAGGAGUAACUGCCUCGCGCCUGACGGUACCCACAGAGGAAGUCCCGGCUAACUCCGUGCCAGCAGCCGCGGUAAUACGGGGGGGACAAGCGUUGUUCGGAUUUACUGGGCGUAAAGGGCGCGUAGGCGGACCUACAAGUCGGCUGUGAAAACUGGCGGCUCAACCACCAGCCUGCACUCGAUACUGUCGGUCUUGAGUACAUGAGAGGAAAGCGGAAUUCCAGGUGUAGCGGUGAAAUGCGUAGAUAUCUGGAAGAACACCAGUAGCGAAGGCGGCUUUCUGGCGUGAUACUGACGCUUAAGCGCGAAGGCUAGGGGAGCAAACAGGAUUAGAUACCCGUGUAGUCC
rnacentral:rRNA from 1 species